CGAGGACUCACCUUUAAAUGUGACAUAUGUCUUUUAAGAGUAAGUGAAUUUUUCUACAUAACUGUAUUACAAUGGUCAUGCCUGAAAAGCAUAAUGGUAAUUCCUAAUAUGAUCUAACAUUUAGUACAUACAAAAAUCUUCCCAACUGUGGCAAGAAUGUCUCUGACAGCUGUUUAUAUUUGUUCAUUUCGACUCUAAAGUCAGCCUGGAUUCAGCUAUGACCUCUGAUUUCAAACGUAUUUGACCACCAAGCUCUCUCCUCCUCCAAAAAGCGUUUCCUUGGGGGGAGUGCUUGGUGGGCCACACGGGGGAGUCACAAAUGUGGAGCCAAGAAACGUUCCUGAAGAAGACAGAUCCAGCACAAGACUGGUGGCUCGGCAGUCGAUACCAAUCUUUUCCCAGCUCCUCAGUUACUCUGGCCAAGCAAGCCCUGGACCUGCCUCAUAGGCACUUCCUUCUCUGGAACUCUGCACACAGUUCCCGGGGUCUGGAACGCAUCUCACCCAACAAAACCUACGUCCUCCAUGGAGUCUCUUCUGAUUACCCGGCUCUCAAGUGCUUCUCUCCCUUUUCUACAGUGGAUCCACAUUCUCCAAGACCAAGAAGUGAGUGCCGUCUCUGCAACCCUGGUGAACUCUGACUUCAUUGAGAGCCUGGUUGAGCUUUGGAGGGCAUUUUUCUUCCUUCUGUCUUUGGAAGACAUAAACACCAAAGGGGAGAAGACGCAGCUCAUGCACACUCACCUCUUCUAGUCAAUGAUUUAAAUCUAAACAGUUAACAGACAAAGAAGUAAAAAUGAGAGAAAGCAUUGAUUAGUCAACCUUGUGCAUCCUGUUCAGAGAUCAAAGGGGCCAGUGAACAGGGAUCAAAGUGGGGGGAAAUACUGAAUGCAACCCCCUUGGGAAGCGACGUUUCUCACGACGUGGUAUGAUUUAAUCAGAACCACUCUGUUCAACAGCUGCAAAGAGGAAAAAAAAAAAACAACCCUGAAAAUUAUUAAUUAGGUAAGCCGAUGUUCCAUGUGCCUUUCACGACAUAGAGUCAUUUCAGCAGCUGUGCCAACUCUCAGU
rnacentral:lncRNA from 12 species